UCGAGGGCCAUGCAGGUUGAUCCUCAUUUGGGGUUUCUGGGUAGCCCCAUAGGGCAACGUUUUUAAUCUGGUGGGCAGACAGAGUGCUGCAUUGUGGUUCUGGAUAGCCAAA